GAUGAACGCUGGCGGCGUGCCUAACACAUGCAAGUCGAACGGAGAUUUAACGCUGCAGAGGCUUCGGCGGAAUCUUGUUAAAUCUUAGUGGCGGACGGGUGAGUAACGCGUGGGCAACCUGCCUCGUACUGGGGGAUAACAGUUGGAAACGACUGUUAAUACCGCAUAAGCGCACGGUAUCGCAUGAUACAGUGUGAAAAACUCCGGUGGUACGAGAUGGGCCCGCGUCAGAUUAGCCAGUUGGCGGGGUAACGGCCCACCAAAGCGACGAUCUGUAGCCGGACUGAGAGGUCGGACGGCCACAUUGGGACUGAGACACGGCCCAAACUCCUACGGGAGGCAGCAGUGGGGGAUAUUGCACAAUGGGCGAAAGCCUGAUGCAGCGACGCCGCGUGAGUGAAGAAGUAUUUCGGUAUGUAAAGCUCUAUCAGCAGGGAAGAAAGACUCGUAAGAGAGAUGACGUAC
rnacentral:rRNA from 1 species